rnacentral:lncRNA from 1 species
CGGCAUGAAGCUCCAUUUGCGCGCAUGUGUGGCUCGGCUAACUAGUUUGUGCAGUUCGCAUGAUACCUUUAUUAUGUGAUGCCUCCCUAGUUGCUGGAGUUCACUUCUUUGUAUUUAUUGAAACAUCAUGUAGUGCACUGUGAAACUCUCUGUUGUUCACUUGUAAAAACAAAUAGCGGUUCCCUUUGUAAAAAAAGUGCAGCCCCUUAGUGGUUCACCUUGUAGAAAAUGAGAAAGAAAUCCCCAUGGGAGGUUCACUUCUUUUUCCAAUGCAUUUUGUUUUGUUUGUGGGAUGAUUGAAAAAAGAAGUUCACUCCACUUGUUUAGUAGCUCAUACCCCUUUGUAUGAAAUGCAAUUUGUUUCGUGUGUCUCAAAAUCAGUCGACUACAUCAACACGUGCAGUGCGUUUGGUUUUUGGAUGUGGUUCAUUUUUUAGAGUGAUGUUGUUCACUUGUGCCGAACAUGAAAGCACAAAAAAAAUUAGCAAAACAAUAAAAAUAGUAAUGCGGUUCACUAUGAUAUAUGAUGUGGUUCGCUUGCUCGCGUCUCUGCGGUCCACUCUUGUUCAUAAAAAAAUUGAAAAAAACCAUCAAAAACUCGUCCGAGAAAAAUUUACAUCCGACAAAGGAAACCAUGAAGUUCACUUGCCUGUCUGAUGCAGUGCGGUUUCAUCCGAUGCAGUGCGGUUUUCUGUCGAAUGACGUUCACUCACCGAUUUGGGUGUCGCAAAAAACAGUGUCCGCAUAUUCGUAAUUUUAAAAUUUCUUUUAAACCGUAAGGAAUUAGAGAGAGUGUUCUACAUGAAAAAGUUGCGUCUCGUCGAUAUCUUUCCAAUGCCAUAUCAUUUGAAUCAUUUUGACAAGCAGUUUGUAAAAGUUUGGCAAAAAACGACUGCUGCCACUCAUCGUCCGCCGCACCAUUUUAAAAAUUAACUUAAAACCGUAGGGAAUCUCGAAACCAUUUCUACAUAUGAAAGUUGCGCCUUGUCCAUAGCUUUCCAACGAUGUAUUACACGCCUCAGUUCGAUAAACGGUUCAAAAACUAGAGUGAAAACAGUAUCGAACAUUGCAAAAAAUUUCAAAAACGUAAUUUCGCGAUUUAGUAAAUUUGAAACUGCUCAAAACCGAAACGAAUUAGAGAAAAUAAUAGGUAUGGAAAAGAUGUGCCUCAACGAUAUCUUUCCAACGGCGUAUCAUUUGCUUUAUUCCGAUGAGCGGUUUUGAAAAAAUCAUGAAAAUACGCUCGCUGCCACUCGUCAUCUGCAGCACCGUUUUUGAAACUGCUCUUAAACCGCGAGGAUCUUGAAAAGUGUUCAACAUGGCAAAGUUGCGCCUAAUCCAUAGCUUCUCCAGGUAUAUUACACGCAUCAUUCUGAUAAAUGGUUAAAAAAUUAGAGCGAAAAAACUACUAAAAAUACUGCAGCACACUUGGUUCAAACAAUGACGUGCACUUGCGUUGAGCGUGCACUUCGGAAGUGUUAUCAGAAUAACUAUUCUGCUAAUAUUAGCAUAAUAGACAGACUGUAUAUAUAUAUACAUCUGGUUACCCUAUGAUGAAUUCAAGCGGUUGAACUGAUGCUUUCUGUUCCUGUUAAAAAUCGUCUUUUUUAGUUCAAAAGUUUUUACAAUUUUUUUAUCAAAAUAGGGCGUGUAAUAUAUCAUUGGAAAGCUCUUGACAUCCACAUUACAAUAUUAUAAUUUUUUUUUGCAAAAAAAUUAAGAUUUACGAGCAGUUUUGAAAAAACCGUUUUUUUUUCAAACUGAAAAUGCGAAUCGUAUUUUGGACUUAAUUUUCAAACGGUUUGUUGGAAUUGAGCAAAUGAGAUGGCAUUGGAAAGCUUGUGAAAAUCCGCAUCUUCUAUAUUUCUACUAUUUUUUCAAAUUCUAUACGAUUUAAAAGUAAUUUGAAAAAGAGUGAAAUUCUGGGUGAAAUGUUUUUUCACUAUUUUUUUGCAAAUGGUUUGUAGGAUUGAUACAAAUGAUAUGGUGUUGGAAAGCUAUGGAAAAUGUGCAAAUUUUGCGUAUAGAAAGUUUUUUCUAAUCCUUACGGUUUAAAUACGAAUUCAAAUACGGUUAAAAUUGAUUUUGAACGUGUUUUUUAAAAAGUUUGUCGAAAUGGGGAAAAUAAUAUACCGUUGGAUAGCUAUCGAAAAUGCAAAACUUAGUCAUGUUGGACGUUUUCUCUACUUCGCAACCGUUUAAGAGUAAUCUUGAAUACGGCAUGACGGAUCCUGCUAUUUUCUCGUCUGAAAAACAGAUUAGUCGUACUGAUAUAUGUGUAUGUUUGUACUGAGCUAUUUUUUGUAGAGUAAUUUUAAAUGGUGCCGAAAAAAUGUACUUAUACUGAUGCUUGCAUGGUUUUGUACUAAACGUGUUUUCACUAACUAGACUUUGCUCUGUUUUUUCGUGAGAACCAUCAUGCUGUUUUUUUGUGAGAAAAAAUAGAGUACUUGUACUGAUCUUCGUGUGUGUUUGUACUAAUGUAUUCUUCAAAGAGUAAUUUUGAAAGGUUACGAAAAAAGAGUACUUGAACUGAUGUCCGUAUGGGGUUGUACUGAGCGUUUUUUCACAGACUAGGCUUUACUCUAUUUUUUUACUGAAAAUUGUUUCAUCAAUUGUUCGCAAAUGAUAGUACGAACUAAGAUAUGUGUUGGUUUGUACUGAGCAUUUGUUUCAUCAUUUGUUCGCAAUUGAUAGUACGAACGGAGCUUUGUUCAUUUUUAUACUGAGCAUUCUUGUCAGUGCCAGGAUCUCCGGAUUUAUGUUGUUUUGUUCUGCGAACUUCCUCAAAAUUUUAUUGGUAAAUCACACCGUUUUUUUUCUUUUGCUAAAUUUUUGUCCUCUGAACUUGUGACCUAUGGAGUUUGUACUGAUAUGAAUCGUUUUGCCGAACCGCCACAAUUUUUUGUGUAUUGAAUCACUAUAUAACUUAGAACCAAAUUGUUUUUCUUAACAUAUAUUUGAAUUGUUUCUAUAUGUACAUUGAAUUGGGGAAGAGUAGCAAUAGUUAUACAUACUUUAUGGAUAGUAAUACAUGAAUUUCUUGGUAAACUGAAGAAUAUACUCUGGACCGUAAUACAUGUCCUCUCGAGUUUGUACUGAUGUGAAUCCUUUUGAACUUGCUCUCGACGGUAAUACAUGACCUCUCGAGUUUGUACUGAUGUGAAUCCAUUCGAACUUACGUGGCUUACAUCAUUGAACGGACUCUAUUCUUCUCACUACCACCAUUGUUUUGUCCAUUUCUUUUUGGACUUGCAUGGCUUACAUCGUUGAACGGGCUUAGGUGGAUAUGUACUAAUGAACUACUAUGAUUUGUAGCUCUCAGGAAAUGUAAUCCUUUCUUUCCCUGUUAUUCUGAAUACCAAACAGCAAAAAAUCAGUUCUCAUAAGCACGAAAAAAUUAUAUAUGUACCCCUAAAUUUUGCAGCUAUUUUGUCCUCUUUCAUUUCGAAAAAAGCAUACAAAAAGCAAAAGCACAAACUAUACAAAAGGUUUUAGACACCAAACUAGUAGAGAAUUAAAAAUAGGCAUCAGGCAGCAACUUGCUAAACAUAGCACGAGUCAUAUACAUAUGCAUUUCAUCCCAUUAUACUUCUCCACCCGCAUGGAAAGUGAGAGAACCUCCCUACAUGCAUAUAUAGGCAUCAAACUCCCUCUGUACCUGAACUAUAUUUUUGUUUGAUAUAUAUUAUGAACUCCUCUCGUCGAUGUACAUGAACCUGCUGUGCAGAGAGAUGAAAUGUAGUACAUCAGUCUAGCUUCAUUCAGCUAGAGAGAAACAUGAAAAAAUGUUCAGUUUUUUAGACGGCUUUCCUCUUUUUCUUUGUCCAAUCUGCGCCACGACUGCCACCAUCCUGCAUGCAAGCUUAAAAUUAAUUGAAGCCACCAAACAUGCACUUUCAUGAGACUUUGCUACUAUAAGUCAGCGAACAUAUCUUUUAGUAUUAAACCAAAGGCACACUUAUUACCCAGCACUCUUGUUCAGUUCAGAGCAUCAUCAAUAAGAUAAAGAUACGAAAACAUUAAGCCAAUAUAGAACAACUGGAUUGAUUUGAUUCAAAUUUUUACUUUCAAUGCAUUGUAGGCAACAGCCGAUCCAAGUCAGAACUGAUGUGAUUUAUUCCAUCGAACUGAUAUGAAAGUUUAUCUAUACUGUUCUGUUUUUUAACACACAUGUUUUGAACUAUUCCCGCUUUUUUCAUUAUGAAUUGAUGACAUAACACAUGUUGAACUGUUACACAAGAGCAAAUUCAGAAAUACAUAACAAUGGUGUACUCAAAAUAUGUGCAUUUUAAGGAACAAAACUUUCUGAACCUUCUAUACGAAAAACUUCAACUAUCAGUCCAAAGAGAUUUGAAGUUAAACAAUCAUUUCCCUUACUGAGUGUUAAGGAAAACGAAACCAGAGAUGACCUCGCCGGCAGUAGGAGUAGCGAUGGCUGCCAAGGCGACGCGUUGGUACAUGUACUAAACAUCUGCUCAAACCUGUUGUAACAUCUACUUCAAGCUUUUUCUAAAUCAUUGUUGGGAGUAGAGGGUUUUAAAAGAAAAUACAGAGUGCCAAAGAAAGAAAGGAACAACCUAUUUAUCUAAAGGACUGUGAUAUUUGGCACACGUGUGCCAUAUAAGGAAAACUGCCACACCUCUAUUUCUUUCAUUUUAAAGUACCAUACGAUCCCUCGUUCUUUGACCCCGCCUCUUCCCAAAUUACCCCGCAGGCUCGCCUGAGAAACCCGCUUCUCCCGCACAUCUCGGGAGCUUACCCCCGAGAAAACUGCCACUUCUUCACGUCUACCACAUGAUCUCUCCUCAGGACAAAGUUACCAUGAUAUUCAUAUGAAAGUUAUUAGGCCUGUGUUGCAUAGCUUACCGUACUAUUUACAUGGAACGUAUCAGGUACUAUGCUUCAACAACUAGACCCUUUCAAAGUUACCACUAUGUUUUGUACACAAGUUAUAAGGUCUUCGAUGUGCAAAAUACCGUGGUACUUACACAUAAGUUAUCAGGGUAUAUGUACAUCAACCUCCCCCCGGUCAAAGUUACCAUGGGGGAUUGUACAUGAGUUACCAGGUCUACGGUUCGUAUAUUAUCAUGGUACUUGCACCUAAAAACCUGGGUGUGUUUCGGUAGCUUUUCUCAUAGGUCAAAAAUUACCAUGAUGUUUUUGCGUAACUUAACAUGCCUAUAGCACGUGUGCCCCUCGUGACACUAAACAUUAUGUGACUUUCUCGUGGCACGCCAUGUGUUGUGUUCAUCCAAGAGGCCCACGCGCGAGGCAAGUGUAUUUUUUUAACAACUUAUAUAUUUUCCUUUGGUAAAAAAGUUAUCAUCAUGUUUAUAUUGCAAGUUAUCGGUUAUGCGGUGCUUAUAUUAUCAUGUUAUUUACACAAAAAUUAUUGGGGAUGUUUUGAACAACUUUUUCCCGAGGUAAAAAGUUAUCAUGGUGAUUCUAGGUAACCUAUCAAGCCCGUAGUGCUUAAAAUAUCAUGCUAUUUACAUAAAAUUUAUCAAGGAUAUGUUUCAGCAACAAAUUCCACCCCCCCAUGGGUCAAAAAUUUAUCAUGGUGUUUAGUUAUCGCAGUGCAUAUGUUUUCAUACUAUUUACACAUAAAAAUGCCAGGGGAGGGAGGUAUACUACCGUGCUAUUUACACAGAAGUUACCGGAGUAUCUUAAAAAAAUUCCCUACGGUCAAAGUUACCAUGGUGCUUCUACCUCCGUUAUUAGAUGUGCGCUGCGUAUAUUACCAUCUAUUUACACAUAAACUAUCAGGUAUCUUUUCACAUUUGUUGUCCCCAAUGGUUAAAGUUACCACGAUGUUUGUAUCUAAAUUAUCAGGUCUAUGGCGUGAAUGUUAUCGUACUAUUUACAGAAAUUACCGGAGGGCGGGUUCAACAAAUUUAUUCACAAUGAUCAAAGUUACCACGAUGCUUGAAACAAAAAGUUGCUAAAGUAUUAAAGGCAAAAACAUGUCAAAAACAGUAUUACCCUUAGAAUGUUCAACAAUGAGUAUCAUAGGUGAGGUGGUUAGCUCCCUUUGUUAAUUACCUGCAGACCAGAGAUCAAAUCCUAGUCUAAGCAUUAUUUUUGCUCAAAAUUGAGAAGGCAUGUGGGGCCAUAAAUGACGAUUACGAAAAUUAGGAAGGCACAAGCGGGAGAGAAUUGAUGACAUUGGAUGCGUGUGGCAGUUUCGCAAUCUGCCACACGGUUGCCAUAUACAUAUUUCGUUAUCUAAAUAGUGUGUGGAAUUGUUUAUAUGGAUGAACAAAACAUUACUUGAAGUAGAGGUUCUGCCAAAAGAAAGAAAGAGCAUCUUGCAGGUUCAAGUUUGAGUAGUUGAGCCAGACAAUUUAUCGUAGGUGUUGUAUGUAAUAAUAAUUUAAUUAUUUUCAUAGGAGUACGACUCAUAGUAUCGGCAUGGAGGUCGUGAACAAAAGCAGAAGUAUCCUUAAUUUUUUAUUAGUGACUGUAAUUUUCCUUAUAAAGAACAUACUACUCUCGUGUAAACCCAUCCCUCUACAUAUGUACUGUCAGUUUUUUGCAAAUCGAACAAAUUGCGUAUGUAGCAAGUGCUAGUAUCUUGAAAUGCAGUUAUGCGUAUGCCCCUAAGAGUAGGUGAAUAGAAAACUCGAACAAAAAAUAGCUUUCUCCUAAUAGUAAUCGUGCUAGAACUCAUUCAAAGCUGAAGUGAACUAUAAUUAUAACCAGCCUUUGUCAAUAGAAGUCCUACUAAUCACAAAUUCCUCUAAUUUCCUCCAGACUCAAGAUCAAGAUGGUGGACAGUGCACGGAUAUUACAAAAUUAACAAUUCACAAUACGAAUUAAGUAUCACAAAUUGCAAGGCACAAGUUUUGAGCACAUACAAUCUUUCAUUGGUAGGCAGCACUACAACUUUGGAGGUCAACACAUUAGGCAAACUCUUUGGAAUUAAGAUAGUGAAAAGUAAAUGUAUGCGAAAGCAAGCUUCCAUUCGGUAAACCAUCAAGCCCAGAUUGCUGCACUCCGAAUUUCCUUUAGACUCAUACGCUACCUUCAGAUCAGCAAGCUUUAUGUUCAGCAAGUGUGUAACAAAACAAGAAUUGAACUGGAAUAGAAUUUGAAAUUUGAACUGAAAUACAAUACGAAAACUAAACUGAGUGUACUUUCAGAUUUUCACAUGGGCAUUAGUGCAUGAAGCAGCAAUGAAAUUGAACUGAAACAAAUUUCAGUUCAGCAAACUUAUAUGAAGUUAUAUGAAGCAUGCUUGAAUGCGUUGACCCGAAGCAUGCUUGUAGGAGAGUAGUGGCACUGGAAGGGAGCCUUUUGCUGAACUUAUAUGAAGUUAUAUGAACUUGUCUAACUUAUAUGGAACUUAUAUGAAGCCUUUUGCUGAACUUAUAUGAAGUUGACCAGACAAGAUGAUACCGGGGCGCAUCAGAAUAUAGGAGAGUGGUGAUGCAAGUCAGUCACCGGCUGGAUAAUGAAGCGGGUGGUAUGCGGCAUGGAGACAACCAGAAAAUGGGACAUCCAGGGGUAGGGAGCGUCGUCGCUGAAGAUCAGAGAGUGUGGAGCGCAGGCGUGCGGUGUCCCCCGGCCGGCAACGGAGACGAAGGAGAUCGGGGAUAGUGCACUUUUUUCGUCAGCCUGCAAGAUGCUCAAGGACCAGGACAACAUGUAGUUUCAGAAUUACAGAUUGUGGUCAGCUAUAGGAUGUUUCUGGGACCAUGUUUUAGCUACGAGAGAGCAACAACAUCACAUCAUGAGAGAGAGGAUGCAGCAUCAAAAAUUCAGGAGAAAGAUCAGAGCAGAGCAGAAGUAAAUAUGUUUUGAGGAGAUGAACUGACCAGGAUUUAAAUGAACUCUCACUAGCAGUAAUUUUUGUACUUCGCAUGUAGUACUACAUGGACUUGCUGUAAAAUACAUGGACCAUGUAGUAAUUUUGAAGUUAAUUAUAUGAUCAUCUCAGGGAGCUCAAGUUGUACUGAAAGCUCAAGUUGGACUGAAACUCACUCGAUAACUAAAACUCCUAGGGCGAGGGGUGGGAUCCAGGGUGCUGCUAGCAAUGAAUGGCCUGGGGUGGUGGCGUUGAACGGCCUGGAGUGGUGGCUGUGAACAGCCAGGGUGCUCCGGCGGCAGAGCCCCACCGGAGAUGGUGAUGCAAGCAGGAGGUCGGGAAGCAGUGGUGCCGGUGGUCGGGGUUGUCCAAUGCACACGGCACACCAGUACAGGAAGUUGAUUCAUCACCCAUCCACAGUUUUUUUCCUUUUGGGAAUCCAUUGAACUGAAAAAAGCUACAUGUGAGCUGAAAGUAUGAAAAUAACACAUCUUUGAAAGAAUAAAGAACUAGCUUUAACUUAUCUAUGAAAGAAUACACCUCCGAGGAACUAGCUUUGAACAUAUCUCUGAAAGAAUAGAGAGCAUGCAAAGUUCAAGGAAAGAAUAAGCAAAAUGGCACACUAGUACGCAGUAGUACGAGUCCAGUCAUGUACGUGCUAGUAUUAGAUUUGAAUAGUAGCUAGAAUUGAAGUUCAGGUAACCAUGGCACACACAUCAUACAGUUUUAGUCAUGUAUGCACACACACUGUAAUAGUAGCUGCAAUUAAAGUUCAAAUAACCACGGCACCCAUAACAGAACAAGAAUCAGUCUAGCAGCUAGGCAAGCAAGCUUCAUCAGCAUGAAUACACAUCAGCGGCAAGCUAGAACACGCUAGUAGGCUGUAGAAGUCUCCUUGUAAUUUUUCAAACAGAAGUGCUUUAGUUCAGUUCAGUAGUAAGGCAUGGAAAAAGAAAAGCAAUGGAAUAAACUAUAACCGAGCCAAAUAUGUAAUUUCAACAACCUAGACCUCAUUGCUUGACUUCAGUAGUAAUACAUGAUCAUCAGUUCAAUAUAAACAGACUGAUGUUAACAUCAUCGUACAUCCAUUGCCGGUUCAUCUGCGUGCAUUAUAUAUAAUUAAGUGUGUCAAAAACCAUUACAGAAUAGCAUGAAUACAAAAGACCAAAUUAAUAGAAGUUCAUCAUCACAUUAAAACCAAAGUACAGUAGUGAUCAAAUGUUGUUACUGAAAAAAUAAAUACAUAAAGUUCAUACAUAUAUAGUUCUCAUUGAACAACAUAUAUAUAGCUCUCUAGAGCAUCUAAUUAAACCAUACAUUGAAACAAUGUAAAAACAUUUCAAUGCAACAACAAAUGCGAUCAUAAUCGCAACUAAGGUAACAAUUGAUCCAACGGCAUAAUGAUGCCAAGCCUCGGUAUGAAUGGCAUAUUUUCUAAUCUUUCUAAUCUUCAAGCGCAUUGCAUCCAUCUUGAUCUUGUGAUCAUUGACGACAUCCGCAACAUGCAACUCCAAUCCCAUCUUCUCCUCCUUAAUUCUUUUCAAUUUUUUCUUCAGGUAAUUGUUUUCUUCUUCAACUAAAUUUAACCUCUCAACAAUAGGGUCGGUUGGAAUUUCCGGUUCACAUACCUCCUUGAUGAAAACAUCUAUGUCAUGUUGGUCGGCAUAAUUUUCAUACACACUAAAUGAACAAAAUAGUUAUAAAAUAUAAUAUAUACCACAUCGGAAUCAUAGACAGGACGAGGGCCGACGGAGGCGGAUACCAAAACCAUCGCACUAUAUGAUAACAAAAAAUAAUAAAAGUAAUAAAAUUAUACAAGUAUCUAUCUAAAUCAUACAAGUAAGAACUUUUUUCUUUUAGAAGAUAAGAACAAGAGGCUCACCACGGUGGUGCCAGCGACGAGAUCGGCGCGGGCGAUCGACAGCGGUGAGGACGGGGACGGGACAGGAUGGACCGCCAAACCUAGACAAAUCUUAAGGAAAAUGGAGUUUGGACAAGGAGCUUCGAGAGGAGAAAGCUUAAGUAUGUCUCGGACAUUUCACCGAACACCUCAUGUGCAUAGGAGGUGAGCUAGAGCACCACAAAGCUCUCCCACGGCCGGCCAAAAAAUAGAGCAAUGCACUGCUCUGCUCGCGGGCAGGGGGAUAUAUAGGCCUCUCUUUAGUCCCGAUUUGUGGCUAGAACCGGGACUAAAGGACCCCAUUUGGUCCCGAUUCCAACCACCAACCGGGAUUAAAGGUUGUGGGCCAGGAGCGAGGCCCAUUUGUCCUGGUUCGUGUCUGGAAGCGUGACCAAAGGGGUCAGACGAAUCGGGACCAAUGGCCCCCGAGGCCCUGCUGACGCCCUGGCUUUAUGAACCGAGAUUGAUGCACCCAUUAGUCUCGGUUCAUAGGGAAACCGGGAUUAAUGCCCUUUUCAGACCUGGACCAAAGCCCUAUUUUCUACUAGUGUUGUAGGCCUCGCUCACAUGAAGUAAGAACGGUCGGUGACGAUGCCUCAUAAAUCCAUGUGGUGCAAUCAUAGUUGGUGGUGCAGGGGAGGAAGUAACCUUCUUUGAUGGGGAUUCCAUCGCACGCUUGUUCGUCAUGUAGACGCGUCCUCUUAAUUUCUGUUCAGCUUUACAGGCAAGACGAAACAAAUGAUCGAUAGAAUAUAGUCUUCAUGCAUUAUUAUGUCUUGUAUAUCAUGGUUUAAACCUUUCCAAAAUCGAUUCAGAAAAUCUUCUUCGCAUUCUUGUAAGCCAGAACGAAACAAAGCAAUACACAAAUUGUCAUAAUAUUCUUCAACAAUGAUAUUGUCUUGUUCUAAACGUUUUAAUUUUCAAAGCAAAUCACUGGCAUGAUAUGAAGAACAAAUCGGUCUCGCAUAACAAGUUUUAAAUCUUUCCAAGUAGAAGGCCUAUUAUCAAUAUUUUUCCUGCAAUAAUUUCUCCACCAAACUGAAGCAAAACCUAAAAACAUCUUAGUGACAACAUUUAUUUUCUUAUGCUUGGGAAGUUCAUGGCUAGCAAAUAUUUCUUCUACCUCAAUUUCCCAAUCAAUAUAUGAAUCAGGGUCAUAUUUACCCUUAAAAUUUGGCAAAGAGGUAACAUGAUGAUGUGUGUUUCUACCAUGAUGUAUAUCAUGUGACGAUCGUCGUACCUUUUGUGGUGGGAAAGAGUGAUCUUUAUCAAUAUAUGGCAAGUCAUCUCCCACAAUAGAUGCACCCCAACUGUCAACCGCUCUAGAAUCUGCCAUGGUUAGUACCACACAAAAACAAAAAUAAUAAGUAUAAUGUUUCUAUAGUACUACUUGGAGGUGGCAGAAAAAUUCUCUCAACACUCUAGCAAUUACCAAGCUCUUACCAGAUCUUACCGUGCUGCAGUGGUUGUCGGCCUUUGGCGCCUUCAAAAGUUAUCAAAGUUGGAUAUAGUGAUUGCCAAAUCACCGAACAAGGUACAAUAUAGAAAGUGGAGCUUGGUGAAGGUUUUCUCAACUCACAAUAUCGGUGGCACAAUUUUGCUAAAAGUAAUGCAAGAUGAAUAAUUGCUCAAACUCCUAACUAGUGCUGAUAGUCGACUAGUAAGAGAUAAAAUAAUCUAAGCCCAGAUACUGAAUCAAGCGAGAGGGAACUGACGAAAAUAUAAUAGCUCCAAGUAGCUAGAUAUAAGUGAGGUAUGAACGUAGUGUAUGGCAACCAAGAGCAGACAAAAAAAUCCAACACUUAUCACUUAUAUGAAUAGAGCAGGCUGAACAGCAAAAGAGAUUUUUCAAAAGAUGCUAGCUGGCCAAAACUUUGCAUCAAAUUUUUUUAUUCUUUUUUCUGAAUUUUCCUUUUUCUUCAACUUUCAGGCCGGCCGCUAGUAGAAGUCACGGACACAAAUAUCUGACCAAACAGGUAUGAAGGGGUGGCCGGGGCACAUCUGGUGUAGCCCAUUGGCGCUGUCCAGCGGUAAAAGAUCUCAUGCCAUUGCUGAAAUUCACGUCCCCCACCCAGGGCAUUUUGGUCAUUUUGCAUCUAUGCCCUUUUCCGAUUCGCUGCAUCCUCCCCCAAUGAGUGCCUCCCUCAUUUUUCUAUCCCUCACAUCUCUCUCGGGAGAGAGUCGCUGCCGCUAGUCAUCCUCCCCGUCUGCCGCCGCUGCCGCCAACCAUCCGCAGCCGCGCCACCAUCCCCUCCCCGUUCCUCUCCCGUAGCUGAGCCAGCCAUGGCCAGGAAGAAGUGCAAGUCCUCUUCCUUCCUCCCUCACCCCUGAUCUGAAUCCUCUCCCGGAACCCCAGCCAGCCGCACGCAUCCCAUAUGGCGCCGCCCAGCUCGCAGCCCUCGGCCGCCGAGCCAUCGCGAGGCUCCUCGCGCAAGCGCACGACCUCCUCAAAGGCUGCGCCCGAGGCCGACCUGGAGUUCACCGUCACCAAGGAAAGGUAAGGGGAGGGGAGGGGAUGGAAGGGAUCGAGCGACCAGGUGAGGAAGCGCCCAGAUCCACAGGGCCAUCGACACUUCGUCAUCGACCUCAUCCGCGACCGUCCUCGAGGUCGGCCAUGGUGGUCCGGCCGGCAACAGCCAUGGAAGGAGAGGCCCGAAUCCCUGGCCCUCCAAGUACGCGCCUGCUGCAGGCCAUCUCCGGCGAGCUCAUCCACAGAUCUCCAACUAUGGUGCGUGCGCAUGAUACCUAAACCCCUUGUCUUGUCGGUUUCUUCAUCUUCCCUCCUUGUGAUUCCUUGGUUUGUUUUGUGCGCAGUUGCUCCGAUCUGGAAGAGGUGGUGGAGCUUUUGUUGUUGCUGCUGUAGGUGGACGAGGCACCACCCUCUCUUUCUACUUCUGGACACAACCUGGUGGUGAUUGCAAAUUUCAGUGUUAAAAAAUUCAGUUCAAUUCAGUCAUGUUCUUUUUCUUUUGUGGGGAAAUUCAGUCACAUUCAAUGUUCAACUUUUAGAGUUAACAAACUGUUGUUAUGACCACUAUGGUUUAGAUGUUCAGAAAUUCAGACAAAUGGUAUGAUGAAAUGAGCCACCUUUUAACCCCCUACUAAACCUACCGUGAACGUGAGAGAGCCAAUGCAGGGAGGUGUGGACAUUUUACCAUGUUCAUAGGAAGAAAUCAACAUAAAAUACACAGCUUGUAGAUGAUUCGUCAACCACCAUCAAACACGACUUGUAACUUUCUGGACUAAACUGAACCGUGCAAUUGACUCAAAAUAAAACUAAACCGUGCAAUUGACUCAAAAAUAAAUAGUAAAUAUACUUUGGUUGUGUCUGCAGAAUUGCAUUAUGGAAAGAUGUGUGUGAGGUUACCCCAUCGCCACUGGUUCCAACUUUGUCCAUCAUGUCGCUCUGAUGAGAAGACCUUGUCCAUGUUUCAUUAAUAGGGCAGAGUGCUGCUGAAGUAUCUAUGUUGAACAAUUAUAACAGUACCAAGUAAGUUUGCUCCAAUUGCAUUUGAUGCAGAAGGCACAACACCGCCAUCAUGCGUCAGGUUCAGUAGAAGGCACGACACCGCCACGCUCUCCUCCACUACAAUGCCAUGCACCCGGUAAUUAAACAUGCUUUCUCUUCAUUCNNNNNNNNNNNNNNNNNNNNNNNNNNNNNNNNNNNNNNNNNNNNNNNNNNNNNNNNNNNNNNNNNNNNNNNNNNNNNNNNNNNNNNNNNNNNNNNNNNNNNNNNNNNNNNNNNNNNNNNNNNNNNNNNNNNNNNNNNNNNNNNNNNNNNNNNNNNNNNNNNNNNNNNNNNNNNNNNNNNNNNNNNNNNNNNNNNNNNNNNNNNNNNNNNNNNNNNNNNNNNNNNNNNNNNNNNNNNNNNNNNNNNNNNNNNNNNNNNNNNNNNNNNNNNNNNNNNCAAGAUCUCAAAGAGGUGCCGGCGAACCCAGGCCACACCCAACGCGCUGGGGGGCUGUUGGGGGCGCCAGCGGAAGCAACAGCCAAUCAUAUUCCUCCAUGUAUCAUUUUUUCUGGUCCACUCAUUCACUUUUUGCCUGGCGACUGUCCUGGGGGCACCAACGGCUGGGAAACCGUCCUUGUGUUUCAUUCGGCGAAGGUGUUUUGCCCCCCAGGACGUGCUAUAUUUGGCCCGACGAUUGUCCUGGGGGCUCCAACGGUUGGAGAUGCUCUAAUUCAUUGUAUUUGCAUGUUUCCAGCAGCCAUGUAUCAAAAAAAGCUUCAGCUUUGGGUUGUUGAUUUAGCAGCAUCAAUCAUUAAUUGUUCUGCUAUAUAUGUUCUUAACCAUGACAACCUGAUUAGGCUCUUAGUUUAUUAUGGUCUUUGUUCUGGGUGGAUCUCUGACUAUUCUGGGUGGGCAUGAAUCUCUUCUUUGUUUCUUCAUCUCCUCUUAUUCUGAUUCCUGCAUUUGUUUUAUGUGAAGGUUGCUCCGCUGAGGACAAGCUGCUUCUGCAGGUGGACGGGCCCUCAAGGCUGCUCUGCCUAUUCCUCCUGCUACCCCCACACGUGGUGAGCCCCAUCCGUUCUCGAGCUACCCCUGCAAAUCUGAUGUGAUGUGCACAAAAUACUUGCAAUUGUUCUCGACACAGGAGCAUGUCAUGUAUUGUUCUAUUUGAAUGUGCAAUUUCAUUGCUUCUGUGAUGUUUGAUGCUUGCUUCACAAGAGGGAAAUCAUGGAUAUAAACUGUGCUUCCUUUCAAGUUGAAUAGUAAUGAUCACCAUUUGGUUCCAUUUUCUCCUCUGCAUCCAGUGUUCACUCUCUCAUAGAUGUCCAUAUAUACAUAGUUCUGAUCUCCUUUUUUCUGCGGCUCCAUACAGCAAACACAAAGCCGUCGAUGCAUUGAGGGCUCAAUGUCGUCUCCGCCGGCUGAGCGGCAAGCCGGGGUUGGGCCUGCACACCGUCUAUCAGCACCCUCCCGUGUCUCCAUUCACGGAUCUGCAGGUCAACCCCUCUUCUCCUCCUAUCCACGCAUCUUCUUUUCCAGAGCUAGGUGUAUGGUUGCAUGGCAAUUUGUGUUUAGGGGCUCACCAUGUUCUGCUUGCCCUGGUUGGCCAAUGAGGCUUUCCUUUUCUUGUAAAGGCCAAAUGUACAAUUCUCUAUGCUUUAUAUUUUUGUAGUUCCUUUGUUUCCAUGCUAGUUUUUUGAUGGGGUGUAAAUAUAUGCUUUUUUGUUCCUUGUCUGGAUUCAGGUAGGGCCUAACAUUAUUGUUCCUUUGUGCAUGGAAAUGUUGGUGGUUUUGUUCCUUUGUGUAUGGAAGGGGGCCUUGAUUAGAAUUUUUAACGUUUGAGUUGUAAUUAGUGUUUUUGUUACACAUGAAAACAUAUGGUUGUUUGUCCAAUCACAUAUGAAAAAGAGAUGAUUGUUUGUCCAACAAUUUUCUUUCUCUGUGAUAGUUUUACUAGAAAUAAAGCAUAGUCACUAUUACAUCCUAUUUUAUAUCUUGUUGUGUCGUGAUAUCUAUAUAGACUCUGUCUACGUCCUUUUGACAUUCCAAGUUUUGUUUUUCUAUGGCUCAAUUAGUUACCCCGUAUCAAGAGAAAUUUAACUGGUAUUUGCGGUAGAGUUAGCUGAAUUCAUGAAGCAAUGAUUUAGUUAUUAUUAAAGCUGAAACACAACAUGUUUUGACAAAUGCGUUCUAAGUAAAGCCUCCAACUAACAUAACCAAAAACAUAUUCUUUAGGUUUAUCAUCUAUUGAAGUAUUAUGUAGAAUUUUAAAUCAUACGAGGCAAAGCAAAUGAGCUCUAUGCACUUUCCAUGUAGCACAAAACAAAAAUAAUCAUGUAUAUUUUGGAUGCACCUAGAUAUACUCAUCAGCAAGGCUGAGGUUAUAGGGCAGGGCACUCACCCACAUUGUCGACAUCUCCGUCACUAUGAUCACCCACAUGAUGGACAAUUCCCUUCUUUCUUUUCUCUGUGGCUAUUGACACUUAAUGCUAUUACUGUGUGCAUAUAUGUACUGUGAUCCAUUCUCAUUCUUCAUAUCUUGAGAAACUAUCUCAAGAUACUCGCAUUUGUGUUUUGAAGAAAGCCUAUUCUAUGAUUAAUAUAUCAAGUAUGGAUGGCGCGAUAUCACCUCUCUUUAUGAUGAUGUUCUUACAGAAUAUAGGUUUUAUGGUAACACGUCUUAGCCAACACCUAUACUGAUGCUCAGACCAGAUGAUUAUAGGCUCUCCUUGCUAUUUUUCUUGAGGUGUGUACAUCUAUCUAGACAAUUUAAUUAAAAUAUAUAUUCCAUACAAACCAUCAAUACAUGUUAGUUGACUUUGAAACUAAUCAGUAAAAAGGUUGUCCCUUUCGCAUUUUAUGGACAUAAAGAUUUGGUGUUGACUGUCGAUCUUUAGUUAACACAUGACCUUACAACCGUAGGGAGUGGGAAAAAACUUAUAUGUUUGGCACAUUUGAAGAACAUAUCAUAGUAACGAAGUUUUGGUAAACAAUGUCCUAGAUCUCAACCAUAUAGAAAUACUAAAUAUAUGUUUAUUUGUAUAUGGAUUAAUUAUACAGACUUAUAAAACCUUGUGCAGGGCACAUAAAAGAAAUUUGAAAUAACUAUUAUUUCAAUAUUUGCUUUUUCAGUUGAGCAUAAUAGUUUAUAGCCUGAUAGGCUUGGACAUAAUUGUCUACAUGUACUGCUCAGUAGGCGACAUCCUUUGGGAAAUUGAGGAUGUCCUCGUGCAUUUUCUAAAUACAAUUGGGGCAUAUCUGAGGAAUGAAGGGAGGAAUAAUCUCGUGGGAGAGUUCGGUGCAGAGGAAGAAGAACAAGAUAUUAUUUAUUUCUUGUGUACAGUCAAGCUUGUGCAUUGUCCCACUGUAAGUUAUUUCAACAAUAGUAGUAACUGUUAUCUCUGGCCAUCUGUUGCGACAUUUUCUUUAACCACCAAUGCAUAUUUAUUUUCUUGUUAAUAACUCUCAUAAUUGCCUGCUACUGUUUCAGUUCUGGGGCCAGGCAACCUUGAAUCCAACGUCCACCUGCAGGCUACAUCUCAGGUAGGAUAAAAAGAUUGCAGUGAACUUGAUGGGUAUAUCAUUAUUGUUGCCUCCUAAUUUGUGUGAUGAGCAAAUGUGUAGAUUGUGUGUAAAUCCGAGAUGCCUAAAACGGUUGGGAACUGAACUUGUUACCUCGGUUCACUUUAAUGGCAUGUUAAACUCGAUGCACUUUCUGGACUGUGACAUUUUUCCUGAAAUUUUGGAAGUGACUGCUAAUGUAGUCUAAAUAGAGUGACUGAGUAGUUACUUUCUCACAAGAGUUGACUUCCCGUUAUUGGAGUACUUGCUAAGAUGGAUUGGUGGUUUUUAUGUUAGAUGAAAAAUAUUACAUCAAUCUUUACGGCUUUUUAUGGGCAAGUGAUUCCGACUCCAUAAUAAGGAAUAAUAUAGCCCUAGUGCUGUGAUAAUGUUAAAACAUUUACCUCUUUUAUCGGUUCAUGUUAUGUAUUUGCUGCGAAAAAAUGGUCUUAUAUCAAAUAAUAGCCUAGAGCUUUUGGAGUGUUAUUACUUGUAUUUGUUGCUUGGAUGUAUAAACCUUCAACAGACUGUCAAUUUUGCUUUUAUAUAAUCUGUUUGUUUAAGUCUGCUGCAUAUUGGUCAAAAGCUCAUGCUAAUUGAUGAUGUUAGGUGAUGAUCUUGUAUCUAACAGUGAUUUCUGAAUGCAUGCUAAAGAAAACUCAUGAACAUCAUGGCGCCUUGUUGAUGGGGUGAUCAAUAGCUACUAUAUUGGGACCCUGAACUUAAAUUGUAGGUCUGAUUUUGUUUCGGAGUUCUCCUGCUACCCACAAGCUUAGAUAGUUCUUUUGUUUGUGCAGGGGAAAUUGCAAAGCAUAUUAUGAAUUGUUACAAGAAACUAUUUCUGCUGUUUUGGUGCAAGGACGUUGCUUUUUAGUAUGCUUCCCGUAUCUUGGUAUCUUGGAAUAAUAAACAGAUAGAUGUCGUGUACCAAGAUUGUUCCUUGUUGUUAAGAGGGAUACAAAUAUUAUACAAGAUUUUUUCUGAUGACUCCUAAAGCAUAUUUGGAUAUACAGCAAAGUAUAUUGUCGCUUCCCUGUUAGUAAAACGAUUAUUUUAGAAAUUUGGUUGGCAGCCCCUACAUUUGGCUGAUUGCUAGCUUACUGGAUUACUCAUGUUUGCGGACUCUGGUAACUUAUGCCUACCAAGAACUACAUGAAUUUUGUGUCUUGCUGCAGUGAACAUUACCAAACUAAUUCUAGAGGUGUUAUAAUCAUGUUUUCUUUUGCAUUAUCAACUUUUAACUUUUGUCAUUUGUUAACACAUUCCUUUUGCAUUAUCAACUUUUAACUAUUGUCAUUUGUUAACACGAUUAUUUAGUAUGUUCACUAUGCGAGUACUCCCUCCGUCUGAAAAUACUUGUCAUCAAAAUAGAUAAAAAGGAAUGUAUCUAGAACUAAUAUACAUCUAAAUACAUCCCCUUUUAUUCAUUUCGGUGACAAGUAUUUCCGGACGGAGGGAGUAGUAAUAAUAGGAGCUAUUUAUUUGCCAGAUAACUAACACUAUUCAUAUGGCAUAAGGGUUAGAAAAAGAACUGUAUUCUUGCUGUGUUGAUUUUCGUAUGGCACACUAUGGAUUCUUUGUGUAACACAUAAUGUCGAUCAACAUGUGUUUACAACGCAGGGAGGAGCCGGGCGACAAGGCAGUCAGACCAAACUCUCUUUCCAUAUAUAUAGGUAGUCUGAUGUUAUGCCAUAGCCGAACCAUAUAUGUUUCGUGUACUGCUCUAUCAAUCUGGUCUUUUGGUAUAUUAGACUCUAUCCUUUGUAAUGAACUUAUUGUCAUGGGCGAUCAUUAUGACUGGAUCGUAUGGUAUGAAUCGGGUCUUUAUGCUUUGUGAUGAAAUAUCAUAUUAUCCUGUUCACCAGUUUGGUUUGGUUUUGAGCUAAAACGUAUAAAAAUACAUGGCUUACAACAAUGGAUAUAUGUGAUGAUAUAUUGAGUGAUUAAGCAUAAUUUUAGACUUUCGGUGCUGGACCAAUGGGAUGCAUGGGGUAAUUGAAUGUUUCUUCUUCACUUUUUAUUAUCGGUUGGGAUCAGCACUCUCGCGCGAUCUAGUUAUGAUGAUGCUGCCUAUACAAAGCAAAUCUAUGUGGCUAUAAAGUGGAGCACCAUGGCGAACAAGAAACUGGCGCUUGAGGACAGACAUGAGUGGAACUGAUGUCUGAUGCAACACGGCGUUGCUGUACGCGUCAGGGCAGACAGCAACGACGUGUAACAGAUGGGAUGUCGGAUUGCACGCAAAACAAAGGAAUCCAAUGCAAUUUUGAUAGUUUUUUUUUCAGAUUAUGGACGAGCUUGCGGCGGAAACCAUGGUGGAGAAAAAAAAGUUCGAUCUAGUAGACAAAAAUUUCUCAUACAAAUCUAAACCAGCACUAUUUGUAGGAUGAUGCAACCAAAAAUUCAACUACGCAAGUACUAGAUGCAAAAAUUGCUAACGGCUAAAAAGAUAGGUGCAAAGGAUGAACUAAUCUUUCUUUCUUUUUUGGCUUUUUUUGGGUUAUAGGACAUGAAAAAUAAGCUAAUCUAACAAAACUGUAAAUCUCUCACCGCUGAAAGUGAAAACUGAUACCACUUAUGUGACGGCGGCCCGAUGUUUCGAUGAGAGUGAGGAUAACUAUCAAUUUGAUGGAUUCUGAUCUUGACGCUCCGGCUAUACAAUACCCGACGAUAUGCCUCGACAAUCGCUAAACCAAUCUCCGAUGGUUAUUGACCUUGCCGUAGGCACGGUCAACCUGAACGACGAGGUUUGAGUUCCUGCAAGUAACUAAAGAACCGGCAAGAACAAAGGUGAAUUGCAAUCUGAAAUUGCGAAUGAAAAAUUAAGCACAUGAACUAGAUCAAAAGUUGGAGUUCCACUUUGGAUCUGACAAGGCGGUAGUCCUACACGUCUCAUAGAUGCGAAACUGUAGCAUGGCUAAACAAUACAAUAAAACCCGCGUAAACCCUAGAAUAUGAUGACUAUUUAUUAAAGGCCGGCGUGGAGAAUGCUUCGUCUAUUUUCUUGGAAGUCAAGACGGGCCUGCUAAUUGGCCGGACACACACGCGAUCUGAUUUGAAAAUAAACUUCUCAUAUCAAUCUGGUGGCAAACUGCCUCAUCGGUACUAUAGGCCCAGAUGCGCAACACACAAGGCCAUGCAUGGGCGCAAAACCUAUACGACGCCCUCAGCGUCCGAUACCAUGUUAACGGUACAGGGCACAGAACGUCGUGAGACAGUUCGGUCCAUAUCCGGUGUGGGCAUUAGAGCAUUGAGAGGACCUUUCCCUAGUACGAGAGGACUGGGAAGGACGCACUUCUGGUGUAUCAGUACACCCCCUUGUCACGAUGGGCCGGCCCACAUUCCUUUUUUUCUAUAUUAAAGACGCCGAAAAAACUGAAUGUAAGCACCAUGAUUCAAACCGGCAAUCGACUGGUUCAACACACACCACCUAACCAAUAGGCUACAUGUUGUUGACGUGGUUAGUUAUAGCUUUUCCUUCUUUUCUUCUUUGUACCUUCUUUUUUGUUUUUUUGUUCGAACGGUUUUGUUAGUUUUUAUUAUUUUCCAUCUUAAUUUUUUUCAAUAAUACAACAUUUUUCGUUUCAAUUUCGUGAACUUUUUUAAAAUUCGAUAUUUUUUUUCAAAAUUCAAUGAACUUAUUUUCAAAUUCGAUGAACUUUUUACAAAUUGGAUGAACUUUUUUCAAAUUUGAUGAACCUUUUUUUAAACUCGAUGUUUGUUUUCAAAUUUGCCAACUUUUUUGAAAAUUCAUGUACAAUUAUGAAUUCAUGAAUUUUUUGAUAUUUUUUUAAUUUUGCAAAUUUCCCCUUUUUAGUUUUUUUAAAUAGCAAUGGUUUUUUCGACAAGUGCUUGCAAGAGAAAAAAGGCUAGCAAAGGAGCGAGCAGCGACCGAUUGAGCCAGCAGCAGCGGUCGAGCGAGUAGUCGAGCGAUUAGCAAUCGAGCGAGCAGCGAUCGAGCGAGCCAGCAGCAGCGGCCGAGCGAGCAGUUGAGCGAUUAGCGAUCGAGCGAACAAAUGCAUGUUGAUUCAAUAAUGCUCAAGUGUAAAUAUUCUGUAUUAAACUUCGCAUCUUCACCCGAGGUUUGUGCAUCUCUUCUUUAAUCCUGCAUAUAAAAUAUUGUGUUGUAUUUUUGUUUCGGAUAACAAAAUAAUAAUUCAUAUAAUUUCUAUUAGAAUUCACCUGAUAAUUAUCUUUACGCGCAAUAAUUGUGGUUAUAUCCGUACGGGUCAUGUUUAUAUCAGGUAGUUAAUCUUCUUUUUCUUAUCCGCAAGACACUUCUUCACAUGCUCAUCCAAGAGGGUUUCGGCUGCCAACAUGAUCAUCGCAUCCACCACGUCCUGUGAGAUUCGCAACCUCUCCUUCUCAAGCUCUAUGUCGCCAAAUGUCUUGGCCUUCUCGAGUUCCCAUUUGAUCGCCACCCCUUGGUGGUCCACCAUGUCCGAACCUCCUUGCGCCGCCGCCGCCUCCCUCUCUCGCUGCAGGCGUUGCCGCAACUUCUGGGCGGCGUCCUCCGCCUUGCAAGUCAGAGCCGACGAAGGGACGCCGACGGACAAGGCGGACGGCGUCUUUGUCGCGGUGGUGGAUCGGGACCGGUGGUGAGGAUUGGGAGCAAGGGUGGAGGACGGCGAGGGUUCGGGCGCGGGAAAAGUUGGAGGGCGGCGGGAGGAGGAGAAAGGGUUUGGUGCAUUUGGCACAAUUUUCAAUGGGGUCGGGCUGACGGGUCCGACGUGGCGGGCGCGCCCGGGCGCCCCAUAUUUGGGCUAGAUAUGAGGGGUGCCGGUCAGCCCAGGCGUUCGAGGCCCGUUUAAGGAGCCCGUCUGGAUCGAAAAAUCGUGACCGGGUGGCCCACCCGGGUGUAUGAGCCAGGCUUGAGGUGCCCGACUGUAGAUGCUCUAAUCAUCUAGAUCUGACGCUCAAAGGCUCCACCCUCCCCCACGACUUGGGUUCGAGCGCCUCCCCAAAACUUCGUCGGGAUCCGCCACAACCGGCAACGGCGAGGCCAGAGGUGGCCGGAUCCGGCACAGGUUGGUCUCUCCCCUCCUUCUUCGCCCACCCUCUCCUCCUUACCUCACGCCACUUGUCUUCCCUUUUUUGCAGGUCGCCAUGGCGCGGACGGCGAUGACGGCAGGAGGGGCACACACAUCCGUGGAAUGGGACGCCGCCAUGGAGAUGGAGAUCCUUCUUCACACCACGCAGAGGCCCCAUGGAGCCUCCCUCCUUCUUCGGUGACUUCUUCUCAGGCCCCACCACUACCUCUGCCCUCCCCCCUCCUCUACUUUGAGUUGCACCAUGCUUUGUUUCAGAUUCAUCCACCCAUGGGUGAUACAUGGGAAGUUAGGGGUUGCUGCAGUUUGAGGUUAAUCCCUUGAUUGGCUGUUGUUUCGGGUUGAUUAGAUUAGUUAGCUCAGUUGGCUGCUAGACUUUAGGAGUGCAUACAUGGGUAUAACAUGCUCUGCACAUUUAGGAUUGAAGUAUUGUGUUGCAGCACUCAGUGACGUUAAUUUAGGGCAUUUCAGUGUCAGUUCCACUAUAUUUCGGGGGACAUUUAACAGUGCAAUUUCAUGGUUAUUACAGUGUAAUUUCAAGGUUCUUGCAUUCUAAGUUCAGAGAAUUACAAUGUUAGUUUAUGUGAAUUCCCGUGCAUUUUACUGUGUAAUUUAAGUGCAAUGGAAAUUAUAGUGUAAAUUCAGUGUAAUUUACUAUGUAAAUUUACGGAAAUUACACUGUAAUUCGUGUGCAACUUUUAGUGUAAUUUACACUAUAAUUUCAACGGGUUUACAGUAGAGUAAUUUAAGUGUAAUUACAGUGUGCACUUUAGAGCAAUCAUACUAUAUAUUUAGUGAAUUUAAAGUAUCACUCCAUACCUUUCGGGUUUGUCUUUUUUCUCUACAAGUUACUGCUAUACUGUUGAUUGAUUCUACCCUUGCGAAAGAAACUUUGAUGAGCACAUAAUUUUCUACUAUGUAAUUUGAGCAGCUUGGUAACCGUAAUUUUCAGUUUCCUUUGACCCUAGGCCCUUGUGCUUUAGAAUUGCUAUUUUUUGUCAGUGUACAUGCUAGAUCAUGUGGUUUAUGAUACUUCUCUGGUCCUUAUAAACAAAGUGACAUGUUUGUACUGUGGAAUAGAAAGAAUAUUUCAGUGUCUCUCUUUAGGCCUUUUGUCGAAUUGUUAUGUGGUCCAGUGCAGCCUUACGAAACCGGGUUCUAUGCAGUUCAUGUACAGUGCAAAACUCAUUAUUGCAGGUCAGGCCUGUAGCAUGUCUUGGGUCAUUGACAUGCAGGAAAGAAGGAAAAAGGACAUAGAAGUAUCAUUUUGUUAUUGGUCAAGAAAAUUUGAAUAAUGUCCAACUGAUUUCAGUUGAAUGACAAAUAGACAAUCCCUUGUUUAAUCAGUAGAUAUACACCAUUAACUCAAAUAGCAAAGAAAUACUAGUCCAUUUAUAAUCGAUGAUUGCGCAUGAUGCAUCCAUCCAUUCUAUCGGAGAGGCUGUGUUUUUUUUCUUCUUGUGCUAAGGUUGAUAGCAUCACAUAUCUUAUGCUUUUGUUUCUCAAGUAGAGCCUUGAGAUAGAUGUGUCUGCAACCGUCCUCGAAUGGUUGUGCAAUAAUAAUGGUCCUAGCUAAUUACUAGUAUGCACUGCUUAUAAAACAACUUGUUGCUCGUUUCACUUUGAGUAUGCUGUUGCUGCUAAAGUAGCAACAACAACAGCCAUGCUUUGGUUCCCCAAAAUUCAGAUGGCACUGGCAUCUCUACAUACACACACAUAUAUGAAUAUGCACCUCAGUUUGGUUCAGUUUGCAUGUGUACCGUUGCUUUAACUUUGACUGAAACUAUCUUGGUGGCACUUGCAUCAAUGUUGUGCUCUGCCCUUGUAUAUGUCCUUGGAGAAGAUGACCAUUGGACUGUAGGGGACGAACAACCUUGUCCUGCUCGAGGAGGAGGAGGAUGGCCACCCUGAGCUCGAGGACGACACGACAACAGGAGCACUCACCUCCCUACUAAGGUGAAGGUCCGAUCCGCCUGUUUAGAUGGUCUGCUCUUGUCUUGUGAUCUGAGGGGAGAAGAAAGCCAUUGGCCUCAAUUAUAUUUGCAUGUGAGGGGAGCGAUCCUUUUGGUAGAUGCAGAGUAUAGAUUACAUAUUCCACAAAACUCACCACACGAGUAUACUAACUAUAUCCACAAAAUUCACCACACGAGCAUACUACCUAUGUCCAAAUGUGGGUUUGAUACUUUCGACAUGAAACAUGAAUAUCAGGUUGGGAGUUUGGAGUUUAAUCAAAUAACGCAGCAAGGCGAUCAUCGGUAGGGAUGCACCUUUGAGGCGGCAAGGAGGGCUUCUCAAAGGCAGUACACAUGGCUUAUUACUGCUUGUAUGUGAGUACGCAGAUGUGGCGUCUAUGGAUAGAGGGUUAGGGGCGCAACGCAAGCGGCAGUAGGGGAUACACAACCUGAUUUGAUUUGGUCAAUCACGGGAAAUGGGAGAAGGCCUAGGGUGCAAAGUUUAGAUCGGUGGGUUGGUAGCGUUAGGCAUAAUAGAGAUCAAACCUUUUUCAUAGGCGUAUGUAGGUUAUUUCCUUGAAGCAUUUUAUCAAAAUGGUGUAGGCGGGUAAUAUCUCUCAACUUAAAUGUGAAGGGGAUAUAUUAUUUCCUUGUAGAGGCCGAGGAAUACAUGGCGUACCGCUACAUAUGCAACCAUGAUUUUUUGUGGAUGGUUACGAGAGAACCUGAAAGAUACCAUGGACCGAAGCAUGGGCACAUGAAGUUCCUGUUGGGGAACGUAGUAAUUUCAAAAAAAUUCCUACGCACACGCAAGAUCAUGGUGAUGCAUAGCAACGAGAGGAGAGAGUAUGAUCUACGUACCCUUGUAGAUCGACAACGGAAGCGUUAACUUGGUUGAUGUAGUCGUACGUCUUCACGGCCCGGCCGAUCAAGCACCGAAACUACGGCACCUCCGAGAUCUAGCACACAUUCAGCUCGAUGACGAUCCCCGGACUCCGAUCCAGCAAAGUGUCGGGGAAGAGUUCCGUCAGCACGACGGCGUGGUGACGAUAUUGAUGUACUACCGUCGCAGGGCUUCGCCUAAGCACCGCUACAAUAUUAUCGAGGACUAUGGUGGAAGGGGGCACCGCACACGGCUAAGAAUAUGAUCACAUGGAUCAACUUGUGUCUCUAGGGGUGCUCCCUGCCUCCGUAUAUAAAGGCUCAAAGGGGGAGGGGUGGCCGGCCAAGAGGAGGCGCGCCAGGAGGAGUCCUACUCCCUCCAGGAGUAGGACUCCCCCCCUUUCCUAAUUGGAAUAGGAUUCGCGGAGGGGGGAAAGAGGAGAGAGAGGAGGAAGGGGGGGGCGACCCCCUCUCCUUGUCCUAUUUGGACCAAAGGGGGGAGGGGCGCGCGGCCCAUAUCUGGCCACCUCUCCUCUCUUCCACUAAGGCCCACUAAGGCCCAUAUACCUCCCGGGGGGUUCCGGUAACCUCCCGGUAAUCCGGUAAAAUCCCGAUUUCACCCGGAACACUUCCGAUAUCCAAAUAUAGGCUUCCAACAUAUCAAUCUUUAUGUCUCGACCAUUUCGAGACUCCUCGUCAUGUCCGUGAUCACAUCCGGGGCUCCGAACAAACUUCGGUACAUCAAAAUGCAUAAACUCAUAAUAUAACUGUCAUCGAAACCUUAAGCGUGCCGACCCUACGGGUUCGAGAACAAUGUAGACAUGACCGAGACACGUCUCCGGUCAAUAACCAAUAGCGGCACCUGGAUGCUCAUAUUGGAUCCUACAUAUUCUACGAAGAUCUUUUAUCGGUCAGACCGCAUAACAACAUACGUUGUUCCCUUUGUCAUCGGUAUGUUACUUGCCCGAGAUUCGAUCAUCGGUAUCCAAUACCUAGUUCAAUCUCGUUACCGGCAAGUCUCUUUACUCGUUCCGUAAUCCAUCAUCCCGCAACUAACUCAUUAGUCGCAAUGCUUGUAAGGCUUAUGUGAUGUGCAUUACCGAGAGGACCCAGAGAUACCUCUCCGACAAUCGGAGUGACAAAUCCUAAUCUCGAAAUACGCCAACCCAACAUGUACCUUUGGAGACACCUGUAGAGCUCCUUUAUAAUCACCCAGUUACGUUGUGACGUUUGGUAGCAUAAAAAGUGUUCCUCCGGCAAACGGGGGUUGCAUAAUCUCAUAGUCAUAGGAACAUGUAUAAGUCAUGAAGAAAGCAAUAGCAACAUACUAAACGAUCGGGUGCUAAGCUAAAGGAAUGGGUGAUGUCAAUCAGAUCAUUCAUCUAAUGAUGUGAUCCUGUUAAUCAAAUGACAACUCUUUGUCCGUGUUUAGGAAACAUAACCAUCUUUGAUUAACAAGCUAGUCUAGUAGAGGCAUACUAGUGACACUCUGUUUGUCUAUGUAUUCACGCAUGUAUUAUGUUUCCGGUUAAUACAAUUCUAGCAUGAAUAAUAAACUUUUAUCAUGAUAUAUAAGGAAAUAAAUAAUAACUUUAUUAUUGCCUCUAGGGCAUAUUUCCUUCAGUCUCCCACUUGCACUAGAGUCAAUAAUCUAGAUUACACAGUAAUGAUUCUAACACCCAUGGAGCCUUGGUGCUGAUCAUGUUUUGCUCGUGGAAGAGGCUUAGUCAACGGGUCUUCUACAUUCAGAUCCGUAUGUAUCUUGCAAAUCUCUAUGUCUCCCACCUGGACUAGAUCCCGGAUGGAAUUGAAGCGUCUCUUGAUGUGCUUGGUUCUCUUGUGAAAUCUGGAUUCCUUUGCCAAGGCAAUUGCACCAGUAUUGUCACAAAAGAUUUUCAUUGGACCCGAUGCACUAGGUAUGACACCUAGAUCGGAUAUGAACUCCUUCAUCCAGACUCCUUCAUUCGCUGCUUCCGAAGCAGCUAUGUAUUCCGCUUCACAUGUAGAUCCCGCCACGACGCUCUGUUUAGAACUGCACCAACUGACAGCUCCACCAUUUAAUGUAAACACGUAUCCGGUUUGCGAUUUAGAAUCAUCCGGAUUAGUGUCAAAGCUUGCAUCAACGUAACCAUUUACGAUGAGCUCUUUGUCACCUCCAUAUACAAGAAACAUAUCCUUAGUCCUUUUCAGGUACUUCAGGAUGUUCUUGACCGCUGUCCAGUGAUCCACUCCUAGAUUACUUUGGUACCUCCCUGCUAGACUUAUAGCAAUGCACACAUCAGGUCUGGUACACAGCAUUGCAUACAUGAUAGAGCCUAUGGCUGAAGCAUAGGGAACAUCUUUCAUUUUCUCUCUAUCUUCUGCAGUGGUCGGCCAUUGAGUCUGACUCAACUUCACACCUUGUAACACAGGCAAGAACCCUUUCUUUGCUUGAUCCAUUUUGAACUUCUUCAAAAUUUUGUCAAGGUAUGUGCUUUGUGAAAGUCCAAUUAAGCGUCUUGAUCUAUCUCUAUAGAUCUUUAUGCCUAAUAUGUAAGCAGCUUCACCAAGGUCUUUCAUUGAAAAACUCUUAUUCGAGUAUCCCUUUAUGCUAUCCAGAAAUUAUAUAUCAUUUCCAAUCAGUAAUAUGUCAUCCACAUAUAAUAUCAUAAAUGCUACAGAGCUCCCACUAACUUUCUUGUAAAUACAGGCUUCUCCAAAGGUCUGUAUAAAACCAAAUGCUUUGAUCACACUAUCAAAGCGUUUAUUCCAACUCCGAGAGGCUUGCACCAGUCCAUAAAUGGAUCACUGGAGCUUGCACAGUUUGUUAGCUCCCUUUGGAUCGACAAAACCUUCCGGUUGCAUCAUAUAAAACUCUUCUUCCAGAAAUCCAUUCAGGAAUGCAGUUUUGACAUCCAUCUGCCAAAUUUCAUAAUCAUAAAAUGCGGCAAUUGCUAACAUGAUUCGGACAGACUUAAGCAUCGCUACGGGUGAGAAGGUCUCAUCGUAGUCAACCCCUUGAACUUGUCGAAAACCUUUUGCGACAAGUCAAGCUUUGUAGACAGUAAUAUUACCGUCAGCGUCAGUCUUCUUCUUGAAGAUCCAUUUAUUCUCAAUUGCUUGCCGAUCAUCGGGCAAGUCAACCAAAGUCCAUACUUUGUUCUCAUACAUGGAUCCCAUCUCAGAUUUCAUGGCUUCAAGCCAUUUUUCGGAAUCUGGGCUCACCAUCGCUUCUUCAUAGUUCGUAGGUUCAUCAUGAUCUAGUAGCAUGACUUCCAGAACAGGAUUACCGUACCACUCUGGCGCGGAUCUUACUCUGGUUGAUCUACGAGGUUCAGUAGUAUCUUGUUCUGAAGUUUCAUGAUCAUUAUCAUUAGCUUCCUCACUAAUUGGUGUAGGUGUCGCAAAAACAGGUUUCUGUUAUGUGCUACUUUCCAAUAAGGGAGCAGGUACAGUUACCUCGUCAAGUUCUACUUUCCUCCCACUCACUUCUUUCGAGAGAAACUCCUUCUCUAGAAAGGAUCCAUUCUUAGCAACGAAUGUCUUGCCUUCGGAUCUGUGAUAGAAGGUGUACCCAACAGUCUCCUUUGGGUAUCCUAUGAAUACACAUUUCUCCGAUUUCGGUUCGAGCUUAUCAGGUUGAAGCUUUUUCACAUAAGCAUCGCAGCCCCAAACUUUAAGAAACGACAACUUUGGUUUCUUGCCAAACCAUAGUUCAUAAGGUGUCAUCUCAACGGAUUUUGAUGGCGCCCUGUUUAACGUGAAUGCGGCUGUCUCUAAAGCAUAACCCCAAAAUGAUAGCGGUAAAUUUGUAAGAGACAUCAUAGAUCGCACCAUAUCAAGUAAAGUACGAUUACGACAUUCGGACACACCAUUACGCUGAGGUGUUCCGGGUGGCGUGAGUUGCAAAACUAUUCCGCAUUGUUUCAGAUGUAGACCAAACUCGUAACUCAAAUAUUCUCCUCCACGAUCAGAUCGCAGAAACUUUAUUUUCUUGUUACGAUGAUUUUCAACUUCACUCUGAAAUUCUUUGAACUUUUCAAAUGUUUCAGACUUAUGCUUCAUUAAGUAGAUAUACCCAUAUCUGCUUAAAUCAUCUGUGAAGGUGAGAAAAUAACGAUAUCCGCCACGAGCCUCAACAUUCAUCGGACCACAUACAUCUGUAUGUAUGAUUUCCAACAAAUCUGUUGCUCUCUCCAUUGUAUCGGAGAAUGGUGUUUUAGUCAUCUUGCCCAUGAGGCACGGUUCGCAGGUACCAAGUGAUUCAUAAUCAAGAGGUUCCAAAAGUCCAUCUGUAUGGAGUUUCUUCAUGCGCUUUACACCGAUAUGACCUAAACGGCAGUGCCACAAAUGAGUUGCCCUAUCAUUAUCAACUCUGCAUCUUUUGGCUUCAACAUUAUGAAUAUGUGUGUUACUACUAUCGAGAUUCAUCAAAAAUAGACCACUCUUCAAAGGUGCAUGACCAUAAAAGAUAUCACUCAUAUAAAUAGAACAACCAUUAUUCUCUAAUUUAAAUGAAUAACCGUCUCGCAUUAAACAAGAUCCAGAUAUAAUGUUCAUGCUCAAUGCUGGCACCAAAUAACAAUUAUUUAGGUCUAAUACUAAUCCCGAAGGUAGAUGUAGAGGUAGCGUGCCGACCGCGAUCACAUUGACUUUAGAACCAUUUCCCACGCGCAUCGUCACCUCGUCCUUUGCCAGUGUUCGCUUAAUCCGUAGUCCCUGUUUCAAGUUGCAAAUAUUAGCAACAGAACCAGUAUCAAAUACCCAGGUGCUACUGCGAGCUCUAGUAAGGUACACAUCAAUAACAUGUAUAUCACUUAUACCUUUGUUCACCUUGCCAUCCUUCUUAUCCGCCAAAUACUUGGGGCAGUUCCGCUUCUAGUGACCAGUCUGCUUGCAUUAGAAGCACUCAAUUUCAGGCUUAGGUCCAGACUUGGGUUUCUUCUCCUGAUCAACAACUUGCUUGCUUUUCUUCUUGAAGUUCCCCUUCUUCUUCCCUUUGCCCUUUUUCUUGAAACUAGUGGUCUUGUUGACCAUCAACACUUGAUGCUCCUUCUUGAUUUCUACCUCCGCAGCUUUUAGCAUUGCGAAGAGCUCGGGAAUAGUCUUAUUCAUCCCUUGCAUAUUAUAGUUCAUCACAAAGCUCUUGUAGCUUGGUGGCAGUGAUUGGAGAAUUCUGUCAAUGACGCAAUCAUCUGGAAGAUUAACUCCCAUCUGAAUCAAGUGAUUAUUAUACCCAGACAUUUUGAGUAUAUGCUCACUGACAGAACUGUUCUCCUCCAUCUUGCAGCUAUAGAACUUAUUGGAGACUUCAUAUCUCUCAAUCCAGGCAUUUGCUUGAAAUAUUAACUUCAACUCCUGGAACAUCUCAUAUGCUCCAUGACGUUCAAAGCGUCGUUGAAGUCUCUAAGCCGUAAAGCAUGGCACACUGAACUAUCGAGUAGUCAUCAGCUUUGCUCUGCCAGACGUUCAUAACAUCUGGUGUUGCUCCAGCAGCAGGCCUGGCACCCAGCGGUGCUUCCAGGACGUAAUUCUUCUAUGCAGCAAUGAGGAUAAUCCUCAAGUUACGGACCCAGUCCGUGUAAUUGCUACCAUCGUCUUUCAACUUUGCUUUCUCAAGGAACGCAUUAAAAUUUAACGGAACAACAGCACGGGCCAUUUAUCUACAAUUAACAUAAACAAGCAAGAUACUAUCAGGAACUAAGUUCAUGAUAAAUUUAAGUUCAAUUAAUCAUAUUACUCAAGAACUCCCACUUAGAUAGACAUCCCUCUAAUCAUCUAAACCAUAACCGAUCAUCACGUGAAAUGGAGUAGUUUUCAGUGGUGAACAUCGCUAUGUUGAUCAUAUCUACUAUAUGAUUCACGCACGAUCUUUCGAUCUCAGUGUUCCGAGGCCAUAUCUGCAUAUGCUAGGCUCGUCAAGUUUAACCUGAGUAUUCUGCGUGUGCAAAACUGGCUUGCACCCGUUGUAGAUGGACGUAGAGCUUAUCACACCCGAUCAUCACGUGGUGUCUGGGCACAACAAACUUUGGCAACGGUGCAUACUCGGGGAGAACACUUUUAUCUUGAAAUUUAGUGAGAGAUCAUCUUAUAAUGCUACCGUCAAUCAAAGCAAGAUAAGAUGCAUAAAAGAUAAACAUCACAUGCAAUCAAUAUAAGUGAUAUGAUAUGGCCAUCAUCAUCUUGUGCUUGUGAUCUCCAUCCUCGAAGCACCAUCGUGAACACCAUUGUCACCAGCGCGACACCUUGAUCUCCAUCAUAGCAUCAUUGUCAUCUUGCCAAUCUUAUGCUUCUACGACUAUCGCUACCGCUUAGUGAUAAAGUAAAGCAUUACAGGGCGAUUGCGUUGCAUACAAUAAAGCGACAACCAUAUGGCUCCUGCCAGUUGCCGAUAACUCGGUUACAAAACAUGAUCAUCUCAUACAAUAAAAUUUAGCAUCAUGUCUUGACCAUAUCACAUCACAACAUGCCCUGCAAAAACAAGUUAGACGUCCUCUACUUUGUUGUUGCAAGUUUUACGUUGCUGCUGCGGGCUUAAGCAAGAACCAAUCUUACCUACGCAUCAAAACCACAAUGAUAGUUUGUCAAGUUGGUGCUGUUUUAACCUUCGCAAGGACCGGGCGUAGCCACACUCGGUUCAACUAAAGUUGGAGAAACUGCCACCCGCAAGCCACCUAUGUGCAAAGCACGUCGGGAGAACCGGUCUCGCGUAAGCGUACGCGUAAUGUCGGUCUGGGCCGCUUCGUCCAGCAAUACCGCCGAACCAAAGUAUGACAUGUUGGUAAGCAGUAUGACUUAUAUCGCCCACAACUCACUUGUGUUCUACUCGUGCAUAUAACAUCAACAUAUAAAACCUAGGCUCGGAUGCCACUGUUGGGGAACGUAGUAAUUUCAAAAAAAUUCCUACGCACACGCAAGAUCAUGGUGAUGCAUAGCAACGAGAGGGGAGAGUAUGAUCUACGUACCCUUGUAGAUCGACAACGAAAGCGUUAACUUCGUUGAUGUAGUCGUACGUCUUCACGGCCCGACCGAUCAAGCACUGAAACUACGGCACCUCCUAGUUCUAGCACACAUUCAGCUUGAUGAUGAUCCCCGGACUCCGAUCCAGCAAAGUGUCGGGGAAGAGUUCCGUCAGCACGACGGCGUGGUGACGAUCUUGAUGUACUACCGUCGCAGGGCUUCGCCUAAGCACCACUACAAUAUUAUCGAGGACUAUGGUGGAAGGGGGCACCGCACACGGCUAAGAAUAUGAUCACGUGGAUCAACUUGUGUCUCUAGGGGUGCUCCCUGCCUCCGUAUAUAAAGGCUCAAAGAGGGGGGCGGCCGGCCAAGAGGAGGCGCGCCAGGAGGAGUCCUACUCCCUCCGGGAGUAGGACUCCCCCCUUUCCUAAUUGGAAUAGGAUUCGCGGAGGGGGGAAAGAGGAGAGAGAGGAGGAAGGGGGGCCGGCCCCCUCUCCUUGUCCUAUUCGGACCACAGGGGGGAGGGGCGCGCGACCCAUCUCUGGCCACCUCUCCUCUCUUCCACUAAGGCCCACUAAGGCCCAUAUACCUCCCGGGGGGUUCCGGUAACCUCCCGGUAAUCCGGUAAAAUCCCUAUUUCACCCGGAACACUUCCGAUAUCCAAAUAUAGGCUUCCAACAUAUCAAUCUUUAUGUCUCGACCAUUUCGAGACUCCUCGUCAUGUCCGUGAUCACAUCUGGGACUCCGAACAAACUUCGGUACAUCAAAAUGCAUAAACUCAUAAUAUAACUGUCAUCGAAACCUUAAGCGUGCGGACCCUACGGGUUCGAGAACAAUGUAGACAUGAACGAGACACGUCUCCGGUCAAUAACCAAUAGCGGAACCUGGAUGCUCAUAUUGGCUCCUACAUAUUCUACGAAGAUCUUUUAUCAGUCAGACUGCAUAAGAACAUACGUUGUUCCCUUUGUCAUCGGUAUGUUACUUGCCCGAGAUUCGAUCGUCGGUAUCCAAUACCUAGUUCAAUCUCGUUACCGGCAAGUCUCUUUACUCGUUCCGUAAUCCAUCAUCCCGCAACUAACUCAUUAGUCGCAAUGCUUGCAAGGAUUAUGUGAUGUGCAUUACCGAGAGGGCCCAGAGAUACCUCUCCGACAAUCGGAGUGACAAAUCCUAAUCUCGAAAUAUGCCAACCCAACAUGUACCUUUGGAGACACCUAUAGAGCUCCUUUAUAAUCACCCAGUUACGUUGUGGCGCUUGGUAACACACAAAGUGUUCCUCCGGCAAACUGGAGUUGCAUAAUCUCAUAGUCAUAGGAACAUGUAUAAGUCAUGAAGAAAGCAAUAGCAACAUACUAAACGAUCGGGUGCUAAGCUAAUGGAAUGAGUCAUGUCAAUCAGAUCAUUCAUCUAAAGAUGUGAUCCUGUUAAUCAAAUGACAACUCUUUGUCCAUGGUUAGGAAACAUAACCAUCUUUGAUUAACAAGCUAGUCUAGUAGAGGCAUACUAGUGACAAUCUGUUUGUCUAUGUAUUCACACAUGUAUUAUGUUUCCGGUUAAUACAAUUCUAGCAUGAAUAAUAAACUUUUAUCAUGAUAUAUAAGGAAAUAAAUAAUAACUUUAUUAUUGCCUCUAGGGCAUAUUUCCUUCAGUUCCAACACCGAAGGGUAAGGAGACGGGCCCGCGUCAUUUACGUCCGGAAUAUGCGACCUUGAUUCUUUGUCGAUGGUGAUGCCAAGACUAUAGGAUAAGGUGGAUCCGGACACAUGAGCAGAUGAAGUGCCUGACACGAAGUUGGUUAAGGAGCUGGACCCAAGUCAUCUACACCGCAAAUUGGUCGAAGGUGUGCCGUGAAUGAUAGAUGUACUUGAGGGGGGAGAAAGCCUGUGAAAAGAACAUACGGUUGCUCGAUGAUGACACAUGUCUUGAGAGGAUGGCGAGAACCCUAGAUAUGGUUAAGGCACGCCACGAGAACAUCACCCCGGUCGCGAGAUUCUCAGUGGUGUGCGGCAACCGAAGCCAAAAGGGCACCCCCGCAAGACCUUGAAAUGCCAGAGCGGUGGGCGCACAAGCAAUGGUGAGGAAAAUCACAUAAGGUACCAAGCAAGGCCAUCCUGAUCAGGGCUCCAUUGCCAAGCUUAUGUCCACCACUGCGAUUCAGACAAACUUUCAACUGGCGUCUCUGUCUUCUCAAGAUUUCCAUGGUCCCAUCAGGAUGUAUAUAUGUACUUUGUUUAUUUUGAAAAUUAAUAUAUCACCAAAGAAAUUGUAGUACUUGUCAUUCUUUUAAUUACUUAGUAGUUUGCAUGAUAGACUCAAUCUUAUAUUUACUAAUUAGAGGCACCAAAUAAGCGACCACGUUAAUCCUCAAAAACUAAGAAUAUUAUCCAUCCGAUCUCCAUAUUAAGUAUCUGUAGCCGUCCAUUGGACAACUCAAGAGUCCUGGGUUACUAUCCCACGUCAUGCUCCAUGUAAUGUGAAAAAAAAAUCAUCUCCUUGGCCAAAUCCAUCCCACGUCAUGCUCCAUGUAAUGUGAAAAAAAGCAUCUCCCUGGCCAAAUUCUUCCUCCCCUGAUCUAUCAUGUGAGGCACUUGCGCAUCAUCCACAAAUCCCUAGCGCAAAUCCAUCCCACGUCAUGCUCCAUGUAAUGUGAAAAAAAUCAUCUCCCUGGCCAAAUUCUUCCUCCCCCGAUCUAUCAUGUGAGGCACUUGCGCAUCAUCCACAAAUCCCUAGCGCUGCUCUUCCAGGUCGUCCUCCUCCUUCCUAUCUUUUGUUGUCUUAAUGCAAAACGAUUCCGUGAGAUCCUUGUGAUCCUCUUCAUCUUCACGUAGAAAUCUGAACUGUCCCAACCACGCUGCAGAUCUGUGGUCCGUCUUGGACAAAGAGAAGGCCCUUUCAAUCUCCACAGAUGCCAUGCCCCAACCAAACCGCAACCCAUGAUAAACGAUGUUGUUGAGAAGGAGGCGCUACCUAAGUCUGAUCGGACAUAUGCCAUUGUUAGGGAAGCUACAAGUCGAAGAACUAUGGUAGACUGAUUGCGAGUAAUUAAGGAGCUAUCAACGAUCCAGUAGGUUUUUGUUAUUAGGAAUUUUUAUGUAGUGCGACUUGAUCUCAAAGAACAAGUACACCAUUAGAGUUCGUUUUGGAGGAUUUUGAUGAUGUGCGCUUAGUUACAGACUUAUCUAAAUACGUAUAACUAGGAUGGACAAUAUUUGUAGGAGCCAUACAAUCCAAUUAGGGGAUUUAGUUUGUCAAAGAUGUUUCCACAUAUCCCUAGCGCUGCUCUUCUAGGUUGCCCCCUGCUUCCUAUCUACGGUCUUCAAGUAAAGCGAUUUAAUGAGUCUCUUGCUGCAGAAAUUUCAACUGCCACAAGAAGGCUGCAGACCUGCGGUUCAUCUUGGCUGAGGUGUCAUACAAUCCAGUUAAGGGAUUCCAUUCAUUGAAGAUGUGGCUGUACUUUCGCACAACAAACUCAAGCACAUCUUCUUAUGUUCUUAGAAACUAGAUGAGUUGUUUUGGACUUUCUUUGGUCUACUCCUCUAUGCUUCUUAUUGGGAAAGUUAGUAUGCAAAAGUUAUGCCCAUCUUCUUAAAUUCGGAUGUAACUUUUCGAGUAGAUGAUUUUUCAUAUAAAAAACUUUUUCAUCCGAGUUAGUAUGCAAAAGUUAUGCCCAUUUUUACAAAUUUCAGAGAGAUUUUGCAAAUAAAGUGAAAAUUCAGAUUUGCAAAUUUUCCCAACAAGUAGACCACAUAUCACAUGGGAAACUUAUUUUCUUUUAUUUUUUUUGACAUUUCCAUCAUUUUCUUUUAUUUUUUUAAAACUGAAAAGGCGAUCCACAUGGGGGGGGGUAGAGUUUGAAAAUGGGACCUUUAGUACUGGUUCGUGGCACGAACCGGGACUAAAGGUCUCAACCCCAUUAGUCCCGGUUCAUGCCUCAAACCGGGACUAAAGGUCUAAUCGUUAGUCCCGGUUUGAGGCACGAACCGGGACCAAUGGUUUUGUGCCAGGAGCGAGGCCCAUUGGUCCCGGUUCAUCCCACCAACCGGGACCAAAAGGUCCAGAUGAACCGGGACCAAUGGCCCACGUGGCCCGGCCGGCCCCCUGGGCUCACGAACCGGGACCAAUGCCCCCGUUGGUCCCGGUUCUGGACUGAACCGGGACUAAUGGGCUGACCCGGCCUGGACCAAAGCCCUGUUUUCUACUAGUGAGUCCAAUCUUGUGUUUAUUCCUCCAUGUCGGCAAAGAGUCAGUAGUCAAUCACCAAGCAAAAUUGCGCACAGUGGGGGGUACAUCACAUCUCCAUAUAUAUUGCCAGCAUUUUCUACUACCAUCUGGCGAUGUGCUAGAUGCCUCUACAGUAUUUCUGUGAGCUACUUCAAAAGCCAGCAUAUAUGCUGAUUUGACCGUGAAGACAUCGAGCUUCCCCGGCCCCCAUGCAAUCACAUCCUCACCUAAUCUUGGAGAUGCCCAUAUCUUUAAGAUUUCUUCCACAUCAGCUGAUAAGAAGUACUGCUGAAGAAGUACCAAGUUCCAAGAACCAUUAUCAUUUAGCAAGUCGGAGACAAAACGAAUGCGACAUCUUCCCUGCAGCGACACAGGUUUGUACGAAAAGGGCCUUGGAAUCCAGUUAUCUCUCCCCUUUGUUGGUAGUCAGAGUCACUAGGACAACUAACUGUGUUAGCAUCUAGAGUUGUAACAAGCCACAGUCCGCCUAUCUUGGUUGCACAGCGAUGAUGCUACCAUCUCCUACGACAAAGUACAUGCCUUGCACCGGAAACAGCGCAACCAUAUGACAUCUAUCCGAGUGGGCGACCACGUGGUGACCGGGCAUGAGGCCAUGGCUGAGGCCGCCUACAACCACUUCUCCGAUGUGCUCGGAAGUGCCAUGGAGCAUGACAUCACGCUUGAUCUCCGCGUUUUGCGUGUUCAACACAAUGCUACUCCGUGCGGUGGACCUAGGCCUUCUUCGACGCCUUACAACUCGGCACGCGGCCUCGAGUAUAUCGCUAUACGCGGACGAUGUUGUCAUCUUUUGUCACCCGGAUAGCCACCACAUUACCACCGUGUGAACCAUCCUACACAUAUUCGGGCUUCAUACAAACUUCGCCAAGUGUUCUGCCACCCCGAUCCGGUGCGAUGAUGACAACAACAUGAUGAUCACAUCUGAGAUGCAGUGCCCCAUAGCCCAAUUCCCCAUCACAUACCUCGGUUUGCCUCUCUCUAUCUGCAAGGCCUCCACGACUAGCUUGCUCCCAAUCAUUGACAAGAUCGGCCACAAGCUCUCCACUUGGCAUGCUUCCAUGAUGUCCAACGGGCAACGGCGACUGCCUUGCUCUCGUGCAUCACGUACUUAGUGCUAUCCCGACAUACUUCCUCACCACCUUUGCUCUCAACCAAUCCAUCCUCGUGAAAUUCAACCGCAUCAUCCGCGGAUUCCUUUGGGCGGGAGGCACCGAAGGCAAUGGGGGUCAGUGUCAUGUUAACUGACAGCAAGUUUGCAGGCCAAUCUCUCUUGGCGGUCUUAGCAUCAGGGACAUUCAAAGGACCGGCAUCACCCUCUGUGCAUGGUUGCUUUGGUUACAGUGCACCGACCCCUUGCAACCCUCGAGCCACUUACACAUACCUCACGACCCAGACGUGACUGCCAUCUUCAGCGCAUCUAGGACCUGGGAUCUUGGGUCCGGCGUCACCUGCAGAUUCUGGUCCGACCACUUGAUAGAGGGUAGAUCCGUGGUUGAGAUCCCCCCAGUCCUCGCCUCGUCCCUCGACGCCGACGCAAGACUCGCACCGUUCACGAGGGCCUCCACCUUAGAGCCUGGGUGCAAGAGAUUCAUGGAGCACUCGGACCGACGGCCAUGUUGCAAUAUGUUGAUCUUGAGCGACGUGUGCGCCACAUUGACCAGAUGAGCCGGAUACACUCAAAUGGCGCUGGACCGCCUCCGCUAUGAAAUGUCUAUGAUGGGAGAAUUUAAAUUCUUCUUAGGCCUUCAAAUUCUUCAACAGCGCAAUGGCAUCUUCAUAUUUCAGGAGAAAUACCUCAAGGAUGUAUUGUGGAAAUUCGGCAUGAAAGAUUGCAAAGGCGUCAAAAUCCCUAUGCCCACAAAUGGCCAUCUAUGCACUGAUGAAAAUGGUAUUGACUUUGAUCAAAAGGUAUACCGCUCCAUGAUUGGUUCUUUAUUGUAUUUAUGUGCAUCUAGGCCAGAUAUUAUGCUCAGUGUUUGCAUGUGUGCCCGAUUUCAACCUACACUGAAGGAAUCACACCAUAAGGCUGUGAAGCAUAUUCUUCGUUAUCUAGCUCACACACCAACACUUGGAUAUGGUAUCCCAAGGGCUCGGCUUUUGAUCUCAUUGGGUACUCACUCUGACUAUGCGGGUGAUCCUGUGGACCGCAAGUCAACAUCAGGCACAUGCCAUUUCCUCAGGCGAUCCUUGGUCUGUUGGUCCUCGAAGAAACAGAACUGCGUAUCACUGUCUACUGCUGAAGCUGAGUACAUUGCUGCUGGUUCUUGCUGUUCUCAAUUUCUAUGGAUGAAUCAAACCCUCAAGGACUACUACGUCAAUGUAAAGAAUGUGCCUCUCUACUAUGACAAUGAGAGUGCCAUCAAGAUUGCUCAUAACCCACUUCAGCAGUCGAAGACAAAGCACAUUCAAAUUUGUCAUCAUUUUCUUCGUGAUCAUGUGUUGAAGGGCGACAUUUCUAUUGAGCAUGUGAAGACUGGAGAACGGCUAGCCGGUAUCUUCACAAAGCCUUUGGAUGAGAAGAGAUUUAGCAAGUUGCGGUGUGAGCUAAAUAUCCUAGAAUCUUCGAAUGUCCUUUGAAAAGGACACACAUCCUAACACUUGUGCAAAGUUGAUGACUUAGACGUGCAACACACGAAGAAACGUUUUUCUUCAUUCAAUGAAGAUUAACACUCUAAGUGUGAAGAAAUUAACAAAGAAUUUGAUUCUCAGAGCCCUUCGACAAUUGUACAUGGUGUUUGAAAUCAUCAUUCUUAUACGGUGGGUCACGCCACCACCAAAAGUUGAAAAUCUUGAAUUUGAGUUUUUACUCAUUUUUGAAUUUCCUCAGUUGUUCAAAUUCUUCAACCCAUCCCACCUUAUCUUCUCAUACCCACUCCCCCCAAUUCCCUCUCUAUCUCUCCCGCAACCUCCCUUGCGCGGACGCCGCCAAACCACCACCUCCCCUGUGCCGCCGCGCCGCGACCUCCUCUGCGCCGCCGCGCCGCAACCUCCUCUCUGCGGCCGAGUCUGCUCCCCGGCGAUUCCCGAUCCACAACUGCCCCCAUUGCCCUUGCCUUCCUCUGCGCGCCGCCGCUCUAGGUCGCGUCCACCGCGUUCCACCACCACCAGCACAUCAGUACGGCGGUAGUGCGGCCCCGCUUCCGUUCCUCCAUGGCCGACCCCCUACCUCCCACCUUCUCCCUCCCGCCCCGAUCGACAACCUCCAUCACCGCCCCGGUCGUGUUGCCCCUCCCGACCCCGCGCCGCCGGAUCCGGGCAACCACGCCGGCGUGCCCUUCCACAAGCUUUCCCGUCGUGACCCUACCACGAGCUGCUCCAGCCCGACCCUGCUUCUUUAACAACGGCACGGUGGCAACUCCCCUUAGUUCACUCCUGCACCGGGGUCGCGAGCUCCGUUCACGGGCUCGCUGGAUCUCGUGAUUGGGGCGCUGGCGACGUGCUCUCCUACUCCACCGCGCCCCUCCUCUACUUCAGCUCCUAUGCCUGUGCCUCUCGUGGACUCAUCGGCGCACAGGCCGCUCUGGAUCCACGCUGGUUCGAGGCCCUGACGGCCUCCUCUUCCUGCUAAGUCACCGAGAUCCAUCGGGGUAUCAAGUUGUUUUGUCGGCCCAAUACUCCUUCUACCUUCCCUUGCCGGCGGUCGUGCAACUUCGGUGAACACCGCUACUCGCGCGCGGAUGACGACGGCGCAGUGGCACUGCAGUUCGCUUUGCAGGGGAUCCGUUGAUGCGGCCGUGGAGUUCGGCCCACAGGUGCAUGAAGUUAUCUUGCCCCCUCCCACAGUUUACCCUUCCGCAUGAGCCCCAUGCCAUAGUCCAUUGGGAAGAAGCUCGUGGUGCGGAUGUGCGGAUGCUCAGUGACAGUGCUGGUGUGUUUCAGAUUUUGUUUUUCUGCAAUUUGUAGGCGACGCUGGAGCAUUGCAGUUCAUUGGCUCGGGGCGAGCAGUGGAGAGGACACACGUGCGUGCAGUUCCCUGUCCAUUGAAAAUGUAGAAGCCCAUCUUGCUGCAAUGUAUGUGAGCAUAUGGCCUGCAAGUGAUGCUCUUUUCCCAGAUUGAAAACAUUGCAAUGUGGUUGGCUGGCCAUCGACGUGCACUUCGCUUUGGGGGGCAGUACGUUCUUUGUGGACGCGCACUUCGUUCGGCCCGAGCGGCAUGAAGCUCCGUUUGCGCGCAUGUGUGGCUUGGCUAACUAGUUUGUGCAGUCGCAUGAUACCUUUAUUAUGUGAUGCCUCCCUAGUUGCUGGAGUUCACUUCUUUGUAUUUAUUGAAACAUCAUGUAGUGCACUGUGAAACUCUCUGUUGUUCACUUGUAAAAACAAAUAGCGGUUCCCUUUGUAAAAAAAAGUGCAGCCCCUUAGUGGUUCACCUUGUAGAAAAUGAGAAAGAAAUCCCCAUGGGAGGUUCACUUCUUUUUCUAAUGCAAUUUGUUUUGUUUGUGGGAUGAUUGAAAAAAGAAGUUCACUCCACUUGUUUAGCAGCUCAUACCCCUUUGUAUGAAAUGCAAUUUGUUUCGUGUGUCUCAAAAUC